CCUUUUGCAUAAUGGUUAAAUAAUACUUUCCAGGAUUUUUAUUCACGAAAUAAGAUGAGCUAUUUUAUUUGUUCAUAGGUGUAACAUAAUCUAUAAUAAGGUAAAAAUAAAUAGGGGUGAAAGGCCUUACAAAUUUUAAGAUAUCUUGAUGAGGACUAAAAGUAUCUAGUACAUAGAAAAACUAUAAGUGAUAAGGCUUAUAGUAUAUAUUAAUUAUUAUUUGGCAUUCAACUUAAGAUUUAAAUAUCAUAGGCUAGUUAGAAUUAUAAUAAAUUUAGAGAUAAUUAUUCUUAGAACUCCUCAAUACGUAAACAAUGCUUCAUAUUUAUAUGUUUAAAUUAGUAUAUUUCGAAAUAAAAUAAAGGACUCGGCAAAUAUUUUAUUCGACUGUUUACCAAAAACAUAGCCAGAUGCAAUUUACAUUUGGUGUAUUCUGCUCAAUGAAAUUUAAAUAGCCGCA
rnacentral:rRNA from 1 species